rnacentral:lncRNA from 1 species
UCAAGCUGCCAAAAAUUUAAUGAUCUUUCCUAAUGCAAAAUUUUGAAUAUCUAAUGACGUAAAUUCCAACAGUCUAUUAAUACUACUUCCUCCACGUUGAACCGUCACCGUUUAUACCGUUAUAAUUAAAAAGAACGGGAACAACUGUAAUAAUAUGCCUUCAGCAGAUCGAUAGCAGAGAACAGCACGCGUCCCAAUACCUGCGCAACCCGAUACCCCACUCAUUUCCACUUCUACUUCGAGGCAUCCGAGGUAGGACAGCCGAGAGCGUAUUUAAGGAGACAAAUGAAGGAGGAUAAUCAUCUUGCGGCGAUCAAGCUCUAGACUUCCAUCCAGUGUAGUGAACAAGUGAACAGGUAGGCCAAUCUGAAUGGUGGAACUCUGUAGUGAGGAGAUCCGAUCGGAGUUGUAUGGGUGUCCGUAUAAUUAUUAAUAUUUUUAUUGUGGGAAUGUUUGUGGCUUACACUGGAGUGAAGUGUAAGGAGGUACGACUCUGAGCGUAAUUGCUUCUUAUAUUCCAUUAAUUAUAUUUUCUUUUGAUAGUAAUAAAUAAAAUUUUUAUUUUUCUUUUACAGACAUCCAUCAAGGGAGCUUUCUCCGUAACGGAGGAAGACAGAAUUGAAGACCUUGGGACCAGAAGGGGGCAUGCCACCAAACAAUAUUUUGGAGAAAACAUCAUUUUAAACUUAUUUUCAAAUCCUGAAAUCCAAUUUUUAAAAUUUUCUUGGUAGUAAGGCCCAUAAUCAAUUGGAAAUAUGAUAUUAAAUACACAAUAAAAGUAACACAAAUGUUUAUUUAACGGUUUUUGAGUUUUUGAA